rnacentral:rRNA from 1 species
GAUGAACGCUGGCGGCGUGCCUAAUACAUGCAAGUCGAGCGAACGGACGCGAAGCUUGCUUCUCUGAUGUUAGCGGCGGACGGGUGAGUAACACGUGGAUAACCUACCUCUAAGACUGGGAUAACUUCGUGAAACCGGAGCUAAUACCGGAUAAUAUUUUGAACCGCAUGGUUCAAAAGUGAAAGACGGUCUUGCUGUCACUUAUCGAUGGAUCCGCGCUGCAUUAGCUAGUUGGUAAGGUAACGGCCUACCAAGGCAACGAUGCAUAGCCGACCUGAGAGGGUGAUCGGCCACACUGGAACUGAGACACGGUCCAGACUCCUACGGGAGGCAGCAGUAGGGAAUCUUCCGCAAUGGGCGAAAGCCUGACGGAGCAACGCCGCGUGAGUGAUGAAGGUCUUCGGAUCGUAAAACUCUGUUAUUAGGGAAGAACAUAUGUGUAAGUAGCUGUGCACAUCUUGACGGUACCUAAUCAGAAAGCCACGGCUAACUACGUG